rnacentral:rRNA from 1 species
AUUGAACGCUGGCGGCAGGCCUAACACAUGCAAGUCGAGCGAGCGGCGGACGGGUGAGUAAUGUCUGGGGAUCUGCCAGAUAGAGGGGGAUAACUACUGGAAACGGUGGCUAAUACCGCAUACAAUCGGAUGCACCCAGAUGGGAGUAGCUAGUAGGUGGGGUAAAGGCUCACCUAGGCGACGAUCUCUAGCUGGUCUGAGAGGAUGAUCAGCCACAGUGGGACGGAGACACGGCCCAGACUCCUACGGGAGGCAGCAGGGGGGAAUAUUGCACAAUGGGCGCAAGCCUGAUGCAGCCAGGCCGCGUGUGUGAAGAAGGCCUUAGGGUUGUAAAGUACUUUCAGCGGGGAGGCGUUACCCGCAGAAGAAGCACCGGCUAACUCCGUGCCAGCAGCCGCGGUAAUAC